rnacentral:lncRNA from 1 species
GAAACUUCUCCCAGGCACUGAGGUAUUUACGGUGGCUGUUCUCAUCUUGCUGAAUGCCUGGAGAGCUUACUACUCUUUGGUUUUCAUUCAUGAGACGUUUGAAAGAAGGGGUAAGACACAUUUUUCUGAGAAAGUAGAUCUCUUCUCAACAUGGCUGCAGAAGUCACUUACGCUGAACUGAAGUUCAAAACUGAAUCCAAGCCCUCAGACCCCAACUCAGACUCACCUGCAGCUCCUAAAGGGAAGGCCACCCCUCAGAGAAGUAAUCUUUGUUUUCCCAAG